UAAACAAAACAUUCAGUCAAAAAUACAACAGAACAAAAGAAAACAAUGUUUAUGUUUAAUGUUUUGUCCAGAAACCAGUCCUCCCGAGCACUCCUCUUCCCCUCCACCUCCUGAAGACUGUGAUGAUGCCAGAACACCUGAUGUCGACUGUGGGCUGUGUUGGAUGUUGCUGUUCAGUCUGUGUCCUGUGUCUGCUCUCCUCUCCUCCCUCCUCUCCUCCACUUGCGUCUACUCCUUCUACAAACAACAGCUCCAGCUGAGACUCCACCAGGGGAAGUGACAGCAGAGAGCAGACUACAGUCAAAAUGGGUGUUGUAGUUUUAUUAUGGGUAGCCAUCUUGAUUUGUAGUCCAUGUAUUAGUCUUGGCCUAUUUCUCUGUCUGUCUGUCUCUCUCUCUCACUCUCUCUAUCUGUCUCUCAGGAAGAAGGACCUGUUUUAUGGAUUGUUGGAUAUCCGUCAGGAACAGAGGAGACCAAAGAAGAAGAAGAGAGUCCAGAACGCUGACUUCAGUACCUACUCAGCCAUCAAUACCAGCAGAGUGUGAGACCUAUACCAGUCAUCAAUACCAGCAGAGUGCGACCUAUACCAUCCAUCAAUACCAGCAGA